rnacentral:lncRNA from 1 species
AAAAGUAGUUUUCUUUUGCACACUUGCAAUGAACAAUUUGAAAAUCAAAAUAAGAAAGCAAUUCCAGUAGCGUUACAAAAUAAAAUACUCAAGAAUAAAUAAAAAGAAAAAAGUCUAUGAUAGGGGACUUCUAUCUAGAAUAUGUAAAGAAGGCUUACAACUCAACGAUAAAGACAAAUAAUCCAAUUUUUAAAAACGAACGAAGGAUCCGGAUAGAUAUUUCUCCAAAGAAGACAUGGAUACAGGUGGCCACUAAGCAUAAGAAAGGACAGUCAACAUUCUUAGUCAUCAGGAAAAUGCAAAUCAAAACUGUGAGGAGAUACCACCUCAUACCCACUAAGACGGCUGCAAUCAAAAGUCAGAUAAUAAGUGGCGGCAAGAAGAAAUCGGAAUAUGCUCAGGCACUGCUGGUGGAAUGUAACAUGGUGCAGCCUCUCUGGAAAAUGGUCUGACUGUUCCUGCAACAAUUAAACAUAAAAUCCCCGUAGCACCGCACACGUCCAUUCCUGGGUAUAGACCCAGAAGAAAUGAAAGCAUAUGUCCACACAAAAUUGUACAUAAAUGUUUACAGACGCAUUACUUACAAGAGCCAAAAAGUGGAAACAACCCAGUGUCUAUCAGCUGAUGAAUGGAUCAACAGCAUGGGACCUACCCAUACAACUGAGUACGACCCAACCAUUAAAAGGAAGUGAAGUACUGACACACGCUACCACAUGCACGAUUCUCGAAAAUGCCACGCCUGGAGUUCCCGUCGUGGCGCAGUGGUUGAUGAAUCCGAAUAGGAACCAUGAGGUUGCGGGUUCGGUCCCUGCCCUUGCUCAGUGGGUUAAAGAUCCGGCGUUGCCGUGAGCUAUGGUGUAGGUUGCAGACGCGGCUCGGAUCCCGCGUUGCUGUGGCUCUGCGUAGGCCUGGGGCUACAGCUCCGAUUGGACCCCUAGCCUGGGAAUCUCCAUACGCCUCGGGAGCGCCCCUAGAAAAGGCAAAAAGACUAAAAAAAAAAAAAAAGAAAGAAAGAAAGAAAAUACCACACCAGGAGAGAAGCAGUCCCAAAAGACCACCUGUUGUAUUUGGAUUUCAUUUACAUGAAAGGUUCAGAACAGACAAGUCUUUAGGGAUAGGAAUAAACGGCAGGUUGUGUGGGGCUGGGAGAAGGAUGGAGGGUGGAGGGUAAGAAGGGAAUGAUACAGGAUUUCUUUUUGAGGAGAUAAAAAUGACCUCAAAUUGACUGUGAUUUCCUGUAGCUGUGACUACACUAAAAACCAUAGAAUUGCAUACUUUACUUGAGUACAUUGUAUGAGGUGUGAAUUACAACCCAAGACAGCGUUUAAAAAAAAAAAAAAAAAAGAGCAUGAAGAGGUAAGUGAUUGUGGGGUGAUGAGCUGAAAGCAUGGAUGGCCUUCACCAUGGGCAUGCAGGAGAGGGAAGAAGCAGUCGAGAGCUAAUGCCACACUUCUGUUCGGAUGCCCGGGCUGGUGGAAAUGCCAGUCACUAAACGAACAAAAGUGGCUGGUACUGUUGGCACAUAUUAAUUCCUUUACUGCUCAACCACCCUCUUGGGUAGGUACUCUUAUUCUCAUUCCCAUUUUACAGACGAGAAGGCAGAGAGGAGAAGUAACGUAGCCCGAGUCGGGCAGCUCGGAAAUGGCAGAGACCUCACCUGCCCCCCGCCUGUCUCGCUUCCCUCCUCACUGCCUCACUCUGCAGCUGUGUUCUCACAGGGGAUGCCCUGGGUUGGGCAAGGGUUGGUGCAAGAGACCAGCCCAGCAGCACAAACUCGUUUCCAAGGAGAUGAUGGAUAAAUGAAGAGGGAAGGCCCAGGCCCACCUCUUGAAGCCUCAUUAGGCUGCCAGCGGUGGCAGAGAAGGAGAACCCAGAUGCUUUGCCCCAGAGGCCUCGCUGCAGCCCGCUCAGCUGCAAAAACGGAACCCCCACCCAUCAGCCGAGUCAUUCCCCUCUCGGCCCCAAGGAAGGGGUGAUUUCCUGCCUGGCCCUCUGGGCAGCUCAGGCUCCUCCCACCGGCCCUGCAUCUCCUUAUCUCUCUCCCAAAGUCCAGUCCGUGUGUGGCCUCCACGGGAAGCGAGGACUCAGAGGUCAGAGCGAACCCAGCAGCUCAGGGCAACAGAGGGCUGACCAAGCGGGGGCCCCGUCGCUCUCGCACUGGGGAUCACCGCUGGGCACGUAGGGGUCCUUUCCCCAUUCACAGGAAUAAAGCCUCUCCUGAUGCCUGUUUUGAAUCCAGCUUCACCCCGCGUACAGCCCUGUGCCAGGCACAUACGUUUUAAAAAAGUGAGUGAAGCGGAGGAAAGAGCAGUCCCAGUCAGAGGCGUCCAUGUAAUAGAUGGCAGAACAGGCUUGGAGUCAAACACCUGAAUUCCCACCUCAGCUCUACCCACUCAUAGUGGUUUGGGACAGCUCAGGGGGUCCAUCUCAGCCUCCAUGGCUCUUCUGUCAGGUAAGGGCACAUAAUGUGAUGAAAUGAGACAAUGCAUUGGCAGAGGGCGGGCGGAUAGCAGCUGCUCUGUAAUGGUAGCUGAUGGGAUAAGGACUCAGAGAGUAAGCAGAUGCCUACUCCCACCCAACUUUUACCUCCGGAGAAGUGAGCUAAGAUGACAGUCCUACAUGAGAAAAGAAUGUAUACAUAUGUAGGACUGGCUCACUUUGCUGUACAGCUGAAAACAACAGAACGAUGUAAAUCAACUAUACUUUAAAACUUUUUUUUUUAGGGCCGCAUAUGGAGGUUCCCAGGCUAGGGGUUGAAUCGGAGCUGCAGCUGCCAGCCUACGCCACAGCCACCGCAAUGCCAGAUCCAAGUCAUGUCUGUGGCCUACACCACAGCUCCCCGCAAGACCAGAUCCUUAACCGACUGAGCGAUGCCAGGGAUCGAACCCACAUCCUCAUGGAUGCUAGUCGGGCUCAUCACCACUGAGCCACAA